GCGGAAGUGGUGAAAUUGGUAUACACGCUAUCUUGAGGGGGUAGUGCUCGUAAGGGCAUGCGGGUUCAAGUCCCGCCUUCCGCACUA
rnacentral:tRNA from 1 species